rnacentral:rRNA from 1 species
CGGGGGGAGCAAGCGUUGUUCGGAUUUACUGGGCGUAAAGGGCGCGUAGGCGGCCUCUGCAAGUCGACUGUGAAAUCUCCGGGCUUAACCCGGAGCGGUCAGCCGAUACUGCAGGGCUAGAGUGCAGAAGGGGCAACUGGAAUUCUCGGUGUAGCGGUGAAAUGCGUAGAUAUCGAGAGGAACACCUGCGGCGAAGGCGGGUUGCUGGGCUGACACUGACGCUGAGGCGCGAAAGCUAGGGGAGCGAACGGGAUUAGAUACCCCGGUAGUCCUAGCCUUAAACGAUGAAUGCUUGGUGUCUGGGGUUUUAUAGUCCCCGGGUGCCGUCGCUAACGCUUUAAGCAUUCCGCCUGGGGAGUACGGUCGCAAGACUG